rnacentral:rRNA from 1 species
ACGAAUCGCACGAGCGAGGCCUCCUGCCCUCGAGCGACCAGUCGCACGCACGACUCGCACACCAGAUCACUUCGCCACCGCCCUCCAUCCCUUCGCCACCGCAGAUCCAUCCUGCCGCCGCCGCCGCUCCAUCCCUCUCUUCCCUCCAAGCUUGUCACCGGCGACGAAGCGUACGGCGCCCUGCGGUCGUGAUCGAUCGCCUCCAGGAACCUACCACGCGCGCCGAGGCGAGGGCCUCGUGGACUCCGUCCGUCGCCGCUUGGCCGAGGACCUCGUGAUGGAUCGAUUAUUUCUCAGCUUGGCGCAUGCCGUACGGCAGCACGCCGCGCGCAGUUUCCUUGGAUUCUAUUCCAUCUCUUCGCGUCCGCUUCCUCUAAUUGUGAGUUUUGGCUGUAAUGCGUUUUACAGAUUCCCAUCUACUAUACUUCCUAUGUAGUGCAUAUCCCGUUCCUCCUUUUACAGGCUUCUCAAAUCAUUCGUUCGUUCGUGCUGGUCAUCCUCCUACAUCUGUCUGUCUCGCUCUCCGAUUGAUUAAUCGUGUUCAUUGGGAUUUAAAAAGAGGAACAUGGAUUUUUGUUGGUGACUUGUAAGCAGCAACAAGAUCUUGCAAUUUCUAAUUUUCUAGCCAUCCACGUGAGUACAGAUCAGGCAAGUACCUCGGGGCAGAGCCCGCGCUGCCAUACCUGAGCCCCUACAUGCGCGGUGAGAACCUGCUCGUCAGCGCCAACUUCGCGUCCACCGGCGUCGGCAUCCUCAACGACACAGGCGUGCAAUUCGUGAACAUCAUCAGGAUCGCCCAGCAGCUGCAGAACUUCCAGGACUACCAGCAGAGGCUAGCGGCGUACGUCGGCGAGGACGCGGCGAGGGAGCGCGUGAGCCAGUCGCUGGUGCUCAUCACGCUUGGCGGCAAUGACUUCGUCAACAACUACUACCUGGUGCCCUUCUCCGCUAGGUCCCAGCAGUUCGAGAUCCACGACUACGUCCACUUCAUCAUCUCCGAGUACAAGAAAGUCCUCGCGGGUGAUAUGGAUGAAGGAAAAGAGGCCAGCAGUGCUGGGCUAAACAAUUCAGGGAGGUAUUGGAUUGGCCUCUGUAGAAACUAUGGUAAAGGCACCUAAUCUUGGGCCCCUAGAAGAAGGAAACUCAACAUGCAUGGUUCUCAUUAGAGGCAACCAGACCGUUGUUGAAAAUAUUGAUGAUUCCUGUUGUGUAUUCUCAAGGAAUGGUCAGGUUUAGUACUGACCGUUGCGGUGCGUAGAAGAAAGGUGCUACUUUCACUUAGUUCUCUCAGUUCUAAGUUGGGACUGCAAAAAUUUGAGGAUUUCCCCACAUCAUUUCUCUUUUGUAAGCAGCAUGGCAAACCCGGUUUCAAAGUAAAGACCUGAGGAAGAAUGUGGAUUGAUCAUUGUGAUUUCAAGUCCUUCAGAGCUGGAGCUAUUAAGACUUGGGACAGAUAUAUACAGGUAACAGGGGCCUACAAGAUCCAAUUCAUAAGAAACUGAGGCACAUCAAUCAAACGCCAACCCACCUGCUAUUGGCACUAAAUGAGGAAGGAAAAAGAACAUUGUCCCUGAAGGCUCAAGACACACAAACAGGAAACUGAGUUUGGGAAAGGUGGUUGUCUCCUUGACGCACACCAUGGUGCCCUUGUCUACUCUCUGUCUUCUUCCUUGCACAGACACCUUUUUACUGGUAGUAGGUUCUCUCAUAGCAUUUUUCGGUGGAGUUGUACUGGCAUCUUUGAUUGAAGUUUCUUUCAACUGGGACAAAACAUGACAAGAAAGGGGAAGAACUAACCUACAUGGAGCUUGGUCAAGGUCGUCGCUCAUGUUUGAUGGCAUUGUUUCUGGUUCCACCGACGUUGUCGAUGCCUGUUACCUAUAGCCCCUUUGCUGCUUUCCUCGGUCGGGCGUGGUCCAUCAGCCACUGCAUGCAGACAAUAGAAUUUAGGCCAGCAAUUGUCGCUUAUCUACGCUACAGAUCGACCCAUAGACAGGGAAAGGAAGCGAUGGUUGGUGGGGAGAGGAGCCGGGGGACGUGUUGUGACGGGACAAGAGGCGCAGUGGCAGGGAGAGAAGGUGAAGACUACGCCAUGUGAGUUGCUGAUGUUGUGCCUUAUGCGGUGGGGAUAAGGGAUGUGUGAUGUGCUUGUGUGGUGAGAGGCGAGGAGUGGCUUUUCCUUUUUGCGGGAGGUUUUUCAUUUUUGUCUAUUCUAUUUUUAUAUUCAAGAUACAUACAAUUAUUUAUCAUCAUUAUAAUCUAGAUAAUAAAUAUUUAUUUAUUCCAUUAAUGUGUUGAAUUAUUUUGUUUUUGAUUUUAAUAUGCUCUCAUGGAAUGGUAAAAAAUUGG